rnacentral:rRNA from 2 species
GCACGCCGCGUGAGUGAAGAAGGUUUUCGGAUCGUAAAACUCUGUUGUUAGAGAAGAACAAGGACGUUAGUAACUGAACGUCCCCUGACGGUAUCUAACCAGAAAGCCACGGCUAACUACGUGCCAGCAGCCGCGGUAAUACGUAGGUGGCAAGCGUUGUCCGGAUUUAUUGGGCGUAAAGCGAGCGCAGGCGGUUUCUUAAGUCUGAUGUGAAAGCCCCCGGCUCAACCGGGGAGGGUCAUUGGAAACUGGGAGACUUGAGUGCAGAAAAAGAGAGUGGAAUUCCAUGUGUAGCGGUGAAAUGCGUAAAUAUAUGGAGGAACACCAGUGGCGAAGGCGGCUCUCUGGUCUGUAACUGACGCUGAGGCUCGAAAGCGUGGGGAGCAAACAGGAUUAGAUACCCUGGUAGUCCACGCCGUAAACGAUGAGUGCUAA